GGUUAAGCGACUAAGCGUACACGGUGGAUGCCCUGGCAGUCAGAGGCGAUGAAGGACGUGCUAAUCUGCGAUAAGCGUCGGUAAGGUGAUAUGAACCGUUAUAACCGGCGAUUUCCGAAUGGGGAAACCCAGUGUGAUUCGUCACACUAUCAUUAACUGAAUCCAUAGGUUAAUGAGGCGAACCGGGGGAACUGAAACAUCUAAGUACCCCGAGGAAAAGAAAUCAACCGAGAUUCCCCCAGUAGCGGCGAGCGAACGGGGAGCAGCCCAGAGCCUGAAUCAGUGUGUGUGUUAGUGGAAGCGUCUGGAAAGGCGCGCGAUACAGGGUGACAGCCCCGUACACAAAAAUGCACAUACUGUGAGCUCGAUGAGUAGGGCGGGACACGUGGUAUCCUGUCUGAAUAUGGGGGGACCAUCCUCCAAGGCUAAAUACUCCUGACUGACCGAUAGUGAACCAGUACCGUGAGGGAAAGGCGAAAAGAACCCCGGCGAGGGGAGUGAAAAAGAACCUGAAACCGUGUACGUACAAGCAGUGGGAGCCUCUUUAUGGGGUGACUGCGUACCUUUUGUAUAAUGGGUCAGCGACUUAUAUUCUGUAGCAAGGUUAACCGAAUAGGGGAGCCGAAGGGAAACCGAGUCUUAACUGGGCGUUAAGUUGCAGGGUAUAGACCCGAAACCCGGUGAUCUAGCCAUGGGCAGGUUGAAGGUUGGGUAACACUAACUGGAGGACCGAACCGACUAAUGUUGAAAAAUUAGCGGAUGACUUGUGGCUGGGGGUGAAAGGCCAAUCAAACCGGGAGAUAGCUGGUUCUCCCCGAAAGCUAUUUAGGUAGCGCCUCGUGAAUUCAUCUCCGGGGGUAGAGCACUGUUUCGGCAAGGGGGUCAUCCCGACUUACCAACCCGAUGCAAACUGCGAAUACCGGAGAAUGUUAUCACGGGAGACACACGGCGGGUGCUAACGUCCGUCGUGAAGAGGGAAACAACCCAGACCGCCAGCUAAGGUCCCAAAGUCAUGGUUAAGUGGGAAACGAUGUGGGAAGGCCCAGACAGCCAGGAUGUUGGCUUAGAAGCAGCCAUCAUUUAAAGAAAGCGUAAUAGCUCACUGGUCGAGUCGGCCUGCGCGGAAGAUGUAACGGGGCUAAACCAUGCACCGAAGCUGCGGCAGCGACGCUUAUGCGUUGUUGGGUAGGGGAGCGUUCUGUAAGCCUGUGAAGGUGUACUGUGAGGUAUGCUGGAGGUAUCAGAAGUGCGAAUGCUGACAUAAGUAACGAUAAAGCGGGUGAAAAGCCCGCUCGCCGGAAGACCAAGGGUUCCUGUCCAACGUUAAUCGGGGCAGGGUGAGUCGACCCCUAAGGCGAGGCCGAAAGGCGUAGUCGAUGGGAAACAGGUUAAUAUUCCUGUACUUGGUGUUACUGCGAAGGGGGGACGGAGAAGGCUAU
rnacentral:rRNA from 1 species